rnacentral:misc_RNA from 1 species
GAUGAAGAACGCAGCAAAAUGCGAUAAGUAAUGUGAAUUGCAGAAUUCAGUGAAUCAUCGAAUCUUUGAACGCACAUUGCGCCCGCCAGUAUUCUGGCGGGCAUGCCUGUUCGAGCGUCAUUUCAACCAUCAAGCCCCCGGGCUUGUGUUGGGGACCUGCGGCUGCCGCAGGCCCUGAAAAGCAGUGGCGGGCUCGCUGUCACACCGAGCGUAGUAGCAUACAUCUCGCUCUGGGCGUGCUGCGGGUUCCGGCCGUUAAACCACCUUUUAACCCAAGGUUGACCUCGGAUCAGGUAGGAAGACCCGCUGAACUUAAGCAUAUCAAUAAGCGGAGGA